rnacentral:rRNA from 1 species
CCCUUAGAUGUUCUGGGCCGCACGCGCGCUACACUGAUGCAUUCAACGAGCCUAGCCUUGACCGAGAGGUCCGGGUAAUCUUUGAAACUGCAUCGUGAUGGGGCUAGAUUAUUGCAAUUAUUAAUCUUCAACGAGGAAUGCCUAGUAAGCGUGAUUCAUCAAAUCGCGUUGAUUACGUCCCUGCCCUUUGUACACACCGCCCGUCGCUCCUACCGAUUGAAUGGUCCGGUGAAAUGUUCGGACCGCGACAAGGCGGACGGUUCGCUGUCAGCUUUGCUGCGGGAAGUUCAUUAAACCUUAUCAUUUAGAGGAAGGAGAAGUCGUAACA